UUGCCUACGGGACGCAGCAGUGGGGAAUAUUGCACAAUGGGGGAAACCCUGAUGCAGCGACGCCGCGUGAGUGAAGAAGUAUUUCGGUAUGUAAAGCUCUAUCAGCAGGAACGAGACAAGACGGUACCUGACUAAGAAGCCCCAGCUAACUACGUGCCAGCAGCCGCGGUAAUACGUAGGGGGCAAGCGUUAUCCGGAUUUACUAGGUGUAAAGGGAGCGUAGACGGCGUAUCAAGUCUGAUGUGAAAGGCAGGGGCUCAACCCCUGGACUGCAUUGGAAACUGGUAUGCUU
rnacentral:rRNA from 1 species